UGGGGAAUUUUGGACAAUGGGCGCAAGCCUGAUCCAGCCAUGCCGCGUGCGGGAAGAAGGCCUUCGGGUUGUAAACCGCUUUUGUCAGGGAAGAAACGCUCUGGGCUAAUACCCUGGGGUAAUGACGGUACCUGAAGAAUAAGCACCGGCUAACUACGUGCCAGCAGCCGCGGUAAUACGUAGGGUGCAAGCGUUAAUCGGAAUUACUGGGCGUAAAGCGUGCGCAGGCGGUUAUGCAAGACAGAUGUGAAAUCCCCGGGCUCAACCUGGGAACUGCAUUUGUGACUGUAUAGCUAGAGUACGGUAGAGGGGGAUGGAAUUCCGCGUGUAGCAGUGAAAUGCGUAGAGAUGUGGAGGAACACCGAUGGCGAAGGCAGCCCCCUGGGCCAACACUGACGCUCAGGCACGAAAGCGUGGGGAGCAAACAGGAUUAGAUACCCUUGUAGUCCCUGAGCGGGCUGGCAAGGCGCAU
rnacentral:rRNA from 1 species